UACAGAGGGUGCGAGCGUUAAUCGGAAUUACUGGGCGUAAAGAGCGCGCAGGCGGUCGUGCAAGUCGCGUGUGAAAGCCCCCGGCUCAACUGGGGAGGGUCACGCGAUACUGCUCGACUCGAAGGCAGGAGAGGGAAGUGGAAUUCCCGGUGUAGUGGUGAAAUGCGUAGAUAUCGGGAGGAACACCAGUGGCGAAGGCGACUUCCUGGCCUGUUCUUGACGCUGAGGCGCGAAAGCUAGGGUAGCAAACGGG
rnacentral:rRNA from 1 species